AGUGGCGGAGCCUGCGGCACACCUCGGCUGCCGCCCUGUGCAGCAGGCACUGAGCACUGUGGCAUCACAGCGCCAUGGGGAGUGCUUGUGUGUCGGAGCACAGCUACACGCGGAAACGGCACAGUUAAAGUACAGUAUCGUGACCUCUCGAGACCGCCGUUGUAUAUGCUGUCUGUCAUUGACUGCAAGGGGCCUGGUACCAAAGGAAUUGUCCUAGUCUCCUCUACCAUAAUGACAACGGUGAUGGCUGCAUUUAUUGAGCACUUGCCCCAUGCCAGGGGCACUGUGCUCAGCACUCCACGCAGUCCUGCACUCCGUCUUGGCCAAAAGGUCGAGAAGCUCUCUGUGUCGUUCUCGCAUCAGCUUUACGAGGUAGGUGCUCUUAUUAUCGUCUCCGUUUCAGAGAUGUGGACAGUGAUUCUCUGGGAGUCUAAGCCUCUUGCCCAAGGCCACCAAGUUGGUGAGCGGCAGAAGUAGGAUGGCCCCUCCUGGACCGUCGGACUCCAAGCCUGUGUGACGCUGUCUCUCGUGGACCCAAGCACCUCCCGUCCUCGUAUGGGAUAUGCACAUGCCGUGCACGCUCCCUGAGCACAGCCAUGGCCGGGCUCUCUCAGCCACCCCGCCGGCCCGGGCAAGGUGCGGGCAGGGGCAGGCAGGAGGCGGAAGGGCGGCCCCUGGGCACGCGGAGCCCUCUGCAGCAGGCAGCCUCAGAGCCAGUGCCGUGCCGUACGUGCCGAGUGGCUAAGAGAGAAACAAAUCAGCCUACGCCCAGGAACCAAAUGCCACGAGAGACCAGUCUGUGGCGCUUGCCAGAACAACAGAGCUUCGUGUCCCUGUGUGUCAUCACAGGAAACAUGCGACCACGCAGCUCACUGGCACAAAAGCAGCCCGGGCCCAGCGUGCUGACUUGUGAGGUAAGGAGAGAGGGUCAGGGUCGCAGGGCUGGGCCUCCCCCUUUCAGAGCCAGAGGGGUGCCGUUGCUGGGCCUGGAAACAGAUCCCCAGGAAGACACCGAGUCUCUCCUGCAGCCCGGGGCUGGCCUUAGGGGGCCAGGACUGACAGCACCUGCCUUCUCGGUGGGCCUGGCUUUGUUGCUUCUCCUUGUUUUGGUUUUCAGGACUUUCUUAGUCAAGUGCCAGGACUGAGUAGAAUGGCACAAGAUCCACCCCUGUGGCCUGGUAAAGAUGACCUUCAAGGUAAAAGGCAAGGUCCCUCUGUCCCUGUCUCUCCCUCCCUCCCGCCCCAGGCCCGCGUCUCCCCUUUCCUGUCUCUCUUCUUCCCUGUUCCUCUUUUGAAUGUUCCUGGCUUCUCCAUCCUCUGGGGCGUCAUCACUUCUGGGACUCCUCCUGCUUCCGAAAAGACAUCAGUGAAUUGGGGUGUCUGGGACAGCGGAACAGUAAAGCCGAACGUGGAGAGACAGGAAUGGAUUGGCGCCUGAAAUAGCCCAACUCAAAGGCAGUUUACAGGCUAGUUAGGGGCUGACGCCUCUCGGAAAGCCCUGCCUCUCCCCUGCUCCUGCACCCACGUGGAAGGAAAGAACCUUCAUGAAACGGAAGGAGGGAGGAUUACUUCCCAAGACCUGUAGGAAGAGGAGUUUUCAUGAGCAGGAAGAUUGAGCUCUGGAGGACCGUCACCCAUCUUGGAGACCCCUUUUGCUGGGGCUGUCAGGAUCUUGACCUCUAGCCUGAGAUUAGUGGUCUGUUCUGGUCCCCACAUCCUCAGCCUUGGGGGCUGGGGACAGGGACUGCAGGGACCCAGACAUCUGUGGUCAGGGCCUGGCCAGAUGGACCACAGGAGAGAAUGGGCAGGGUGUUUUGAGGUAACCCCAUUUUUUCUGCCAGUCAAUUUGAUUUAUUGUUCAGGUCUUCAGCUGUAAUUACAGAGAAACUCAAACCCAAUCCCCGCCAGGUUUAAUCAGGAGGGCUGAUUUGUAGAUUGAUUACAAUUUAAUAGAUUUAUUAGGAGCUGAGUGUGCCCAGCGAGUAACAGGCUGAAUGAGGCUAUUGCAUCGAGAGAUAGAAAAGAAGAAUGAAGCCCAGAGCUGGGGAGAAAGGGAGGAGGGUUAGGAGGUGAGGAGAGAGGGAAGGGCAGGGGAGAGAAUUCAAGGACAAGGAGAGAGGGGCCUGUGACAAGCAGAGUGGAAGGAGCAAGUGGGAUUGAGUGACAUAGGAAGAAAGCUUUGGGACCAAUCUUUCCAGCAAUUCUUAGGAGCUAAGCAGGGCUCAUUAUUUAACUUUUCUGAGCCUUGGUGUCUGCAUGUAUAAAACGGGCAUAAUUAGCACCUACUUGCAGGGUGGUUGUGAAGAUAAAACGAGAUUGAGUUUGUGGAAGAAUCAAGCGUGGUACCUAAUACCUAGGCGUGGAGUGGGGUACAGUGGUCAGUAGAGAAAAGGGAGAGGGAGGAAAUAGAAGAGUAGAAGGAUGGAGAACAAAGGGAGAGAUUGCGAGGAGAAUACUGGCGGAGAUGGAUUCAUGUGCUACGUGUAACUGCUGUGGACAAGAAUGCCACGUGCCUUCAACAUCCAUUCUCUGUAUCUUCCACAGGAAUGGACUUCUAAUUUUUGACCAGAAUAAAGUUUCCCAGCCUUCUUUGUGGUUACAUGAGGCCAUGUGACAAAUUCUGGCCAAUGGACGUAAGUGGAAGGGAUCUGUGCAGGUCUAGGUGACACUUUGAAAGGAAAGGAUGUGCUGUUCCAGGCUUCCCGCGGCCGGCGCACCCUCGUGGGCGGCGGAGGGAACUCAGGGCCCGUGGGCAUCGCAGAGGCACAGCCAGCCCUGCUGACUUCGGGGAAGUGCGCUGCUUUACUGACCUAGAAUUCUAUGAAUGAAAAAAAUAAACCAAUGUCUUG